GACAUCAAAACACGGCUGCUGGCAGAGACUGCGAGCAGAGAAACGUGCGGACGACGAGCCCUUCAACCAGAAGCCUCCGUUCACUUCUACAUCUUUGUGGGGGAUUUUACCAUAGUCAGAUCGAAGUAUUGUUCCCAAGACUGUUUGAUGUUGCAACUUGUUAAUCAGUUCAAACCCAUCUAAUAUCUGACCUACAAAAGGCGAAUCAUCCCUGUGCUGGAUCUCUGAGCCCUUUUAAUCAAUUUCAGCAGUUCGAUCUUCGUCUUAUUAAAAUUAAAGUCAUAGGUCGUGUCUCUCAGCUUCCCUGCAAACCCCUUCCCACUCUCCCAGUAAAUGGCCGGGAUUCAAAGGAAAGUGAU